CUGCAGCCCGAGUGGUGAUCGAUUUUAUUGAGCCUAAAGCGUCCGUAGCCGGACUAGUAAACCCUUGGGUAAAUUGGGCAGCUUAACUGUCCGAAUUCCGAGGGGACUGCUAGUCUUGGGACCGGGAGAGGUCAGAGGUACUCCAGGGGUAGGGGCUAAAUCCUGUAAUCCUUUGGGGACCACCAGUGGCGAAGGCGUCUGACUAGAACGGAUCCGACGGUAAGGGACGAAACCCUGGGGCGCGAACCGGAUUAGAUACCCGAGUAGUCC
rnacentral:rRNA from 1 species